rnacentral:rRNA from 1 species
UACGUAGGGUGCGAGCGUUAAUCGGAAUUACUGGGCGUAAAGCGUGCGCAGGCGGUUUUGUAAGCCAGAUGUGAAAUCCCCGGGCUUAACCUGGGAACUGCAUUUGUGACUGCAUGGCUAGAGUACUGGAGAGGGUAACGGAAUUCACGGUGUAGCAGUGAAAUGCGUAGAUAUCGUGAGGAACACCAGAGGCGAAGGCGGUUACCUGGACAGUUACUGACGCUCAGGCACGAAAGCGUGGGGAGCGAACAGG